ACCUCCCGCCGCCCCCACAGGCCCCGGCUCCUGCGCGGGGCGGGUGCCGCGGCACGGCCGGGCCCUGCGCACCCGGGGGAGGUGUGAGUCUCAUCCGCUCCGUGCGGGAGUGGUCUGUACGGCAGGGAGAAGCGGCGCGAUCCGCUUCGUCUGUGGGUGACGGGGACCGUGUGUCCCAUCUGCGUGCUCUGCGAAUGGGGAAGAGGCCUCGAGGUGAGGCUGAAGAGAUAUGGAGUAAUUUUCAGGAUUUUUUUUGAAUCCUAUCUAUGGAAGAGUCCUCUUGAAGAUUUGAUCCCCUGGUUCUUCAAGCAUACUUAGUCCUUCCAGGUGCAAUGAAAACAGCAUUUUCUCUGCCUUUUCUACUUUGCAGUAGAAGCAGCCUACAUUCCCCUUCCCUUCCCCCCCCAAAAUACUGUUCAUCUGCUAAACCUUUCUAUAUUAAUCCGGCAGAAAAAAGCAACAUUUAAAUGUAAAUGAUGAAUUGUUUGAGGUUCACAUGUUUGCAUCUGAUUGUCUGGCCAAUGAUUCUAAACUGUGUUGUUUUUCCAGGCUGUGAGACCCUUGAGACAGGGCCUGUUGUCUCCCUCGGGGUAUUGUAAAUGUCAGUCACACAGAGAGUGUUCAAUAAAUAAAUAAUACUGGUUUUGUUA